GACCGCGCCCGCACGCUGCCGUGCGGCUCUCCGCGCCGCACGCCGCUGCCGGCCAAGCUUCUGCAGGUCGGGAGGAGAAAGAUUGGGGACGAUUUUUGCGGUCGGUAACCUCACCUUUAGCCAAGAUAUGGUUACUGUAUCAGAUGUACAAAUAACCAAAUACAAUCUUGAACCUUAAUGAGCAUCAAAUGAACCUAUCGAAUGAGCAUCACUAAGUCUUAUGUGGAGUUAACAUGGCCUGGAACAAAUG
rnacentral:lncRNA from 1 species